UGGGGCGUAGUGCAACGGCAGCACACCGGACUUUGGAUCCGAGGAUCCAGGUUCGAAUCCUGGCGCCCCAGCCU
rnacentral:tRNA from 1 species